UAGUAGUUCUAAUGUUGUAGCGAAAGGUAAAUAAUCAUAAAAUUCAGGAACUUAUCAUCUACAGCAUGAGAAAAGAGGAGCAACAUAAUAUCAAGUAAAUAAUUACGUUAUAAUCUUUUGUCAAAUAUUACCACAAAUUUAUGCUUUUUUCCUUCUCUAAAAAAAUCAUAUUUCCAAAUCUUCUUUUGAAGAGUAAGCAGCAAUGCCAAGCCAUGAACAUCCUGAGGUGCACAGACUGCAUUCUCCAGAUGCCAUUUGCCCUGGAAGCUGUAAGGGCUCCCUGGGAAGUGUUGAUUUUAAGUCUGGAACAGUAUAGUACAGAACCACACCGGAAAUGAGACCAGGGCUCUGACAUUGCAGAAAGCAAGAACUCUAUCAAGCACUUAAAAUUGUGUCAGGUAAGUAGAAGUAGCAAGGAUGGGCAAUUUGAGUCUCCAUGAAUAAUGGCUACAAUUAUGUAAAAAAAUAGAGAUGCUUUCAAUGAAAAACUCCUGAAUCAAUAACAAAUUAAAUGUAACAGCAAGAUAUAAAAUUACAUGUAAAAAUCAUUAUGUUCAUUGUUUGGGGCAACAAGCAACUGCAGGGAUGAUCCUAUUUUACAAUACAACCAUAAAAGGAAUCAUCCUAGGAAUAAUUUUAACCAGACGUAUAAGCAUCCUAUAUAGAAAACACUAGAAAGUCUUGCAGAAUGUCACAAAACUGGGUCUCAAAAUGAAAAACAAACCAUGUUCUCUGAUAGGAAAACGCAUCAAAUUAUGGUCAGUUUCUUUAAAAAGCAUUUUAAUGGAGCUAUAUUCUAUAGUAUAUAUAUAUAUAUAUAUAAACAAGAAUAUAAAAAACAAGCAGCAAUGGGACUGGCCUAACCCUUUCAGACAUUGCAAUAGAUUGUACAGACUAUAAUUAAAACAGUAAAUUUAGAAAACGACAAUAUCUAAUCAAUGUGGACAAGGAAAAACACAGAUAAAGACCCAAGAACAAUGUAGAAAUUUACAUAGGUAACAUGCCACAUCUCUGGAUGUAAGGAGAAAAAGAACUUUAUAAAAUUAACUAUUGUUAGACAGCCAUUUAAAAACAGAAAAAUUGGAUGUAUCAUCAUCUAGGUAGAAUUACCACCAGUCUUAUCAAUAUGCAUAAAUCAUCAAAUGAGUGAAGGGAAUUCUGGAAGAACACCCGCCCUUGUCAAUACAGAGAGGAUGGAAAACUGCCCUAAAUCAAAGGAAGCCGAAAAUAAUUGACAUCUAAAUGCGGCAUCUGAUCUACUUAAUCCUGAUUUAAAUUACGCCAACAAACAAUAAAGUAAAACAUGUUUUUGGAACAAGUGAGGAUAUUAGAACACAUUAGCUCUAUCAGAUUGAAGUUGCUAAUUUGCUAACUUUGUAACAUUUCCCGUCCCCUUGCAUUUUGAGCCUGUGGGAAUAGUAGUCAAUAUGGGCAAUUUUGCUAGAUCCCAAAUACAUGCACAUACUUAGGAGAUUUCGGGGACAUUUUGUUUGUCAGAAUCGGCGGGCGUGAGGGAUUGAAGCCGGAAUCUAGUGAUUAGAAACCAGGGAUGCUGCAAAAUACUAACUCCCUGCAGCUUACUGACACACCCCAAGACCACCCAAACCAAAUCGCCACCACCGCGGGUGGUUGAGAAACGCUGGCGGAGAAAAAUCGCAUAUUCUGAGAAACUAGGUUGCAGCACAGGACCUUGCCGUUUGCAUGAGUCCCGUAUGGGCGGUGAAGGCAGACAGUGUUCAGGCUAGUUCAAAAUCCUGCAUGUGUCCUUCCGCCCUCAAGCACCGGGAGAGACCGGUUCUUACCCACCUCUCACCAAGCCGCUGGGCUGAGGUGGGCGGAGUCUUGCGGUGGGCGGGGUCUGGAUUGGCACUCCGCAUGCGCAGAGCAGCCCGCCGCGCCCACGCCGUGCUACUACCAAAGUUGCAAAGCUCCGAGCGGACCGGUCAAAAAGGUGAAGAUCCCGGCAACCAAGGAAAGGGAAGGGCGCUCCGCUUGGGCUGCCCGGAUCGGUAAGGAGCCUCGCUCAAGCCAGAAGCGGCUCCUGCUGCUCGAACUGCUAAAGUGAUGCAAGUAUUCUCCUGUCCCACCCGGGCUGCAUCCUGACACCGAGUGGACUCCGCCCCCGGAGUCCGUGCAUCCCGAAUGUCCUGGGCAUCCAACACCUCGGGUUGCAUCUGGCCACACCCCGCUCCUUGCCGGUUCCUCGCCCGCCAUCGCCUGCCCAGGCAGUCAGGCUCAGAAUGGACUGCGAGCUUUCAAAAAAGAAAAAGACGGGAAACCACCAACAACAAUGUUGCCAACGGUCUUUAUAGCUUGCACAAAGUCAAGCAAAGUAUGUUCCCAUUUAUGUAAUAUCAACAGUCUGCUUACCUACUGCUUUAGUCUAGGCUAUUCUUGAAUGUAGUGCCUUAAACAAAAUGUAGAUACAUUGUACUUGGGACUGUGAUCCCAGGAACAGGAAAGAAAGACAGGAUGGUUGAAUCUGAGCACAUGGCAAAGGAAAUUGGGACAGCAUUGCCAAGAGCUCACUGUUAGUGCUGUGUGAGGCAGAAGCAUCUCAUGCUUUGUCUCACAAAUGUCUCUCUGAUAGACAAGAGAGAGAAGCAUUUCUCUGGCAGCAGCCAUAUCUGUGUGGAGGACUACUUGCUUGAGAUCUACCAUCUUUCUAUUUGAUACCACAGCAUCACUGAGCCUCAGGUAGGAGGCUGGAUGCUUAGAACAGUGCUUGAAGUACUGUUAACAAAGAGCAGGGUCUGACUUUCCAGAACUAUGACCUGAACCCAAAAUUGAAAAGACCUGAACAGUGUAUCACAGGCCUGUCAUAGUCUGCAUAAUACAUGUUUAGGACUGCAUAAAUCUAUUCCCACUUCUUUCUAUAAUCAUUUUUAUGUAGACAGGGUUGACAAAAGGAAGAUCAAAUAUAUUAGGAGUUGCUUGUUUAUAAUAGUUUUGACCUUGAGUCGUGUUUGUUCAUAAGAGAAAACAACAGUGGAAUUUGGAAAAUUUGGACAUUAUUUUUGCCAUUUGGUGGUGACAAAUGCUUUUAAUCUCAGCACUCGGGAGGCAGAGGCUGGCGGAUCUCUGAGUUUGAGGCCACCCUGGUCUACAGAGUGAGUCCCAGGACAGCCAGGACCACACAGGGAAACCCUGUCUUGAAAAAUAAACUUAAAAAAAAAGAAAAGAAGAAAAAUCAAGUAUUCUACUUGAAAUGUUUGCUCAUGGUGAGUGGUGUCAGUUACCGUUUUCGCUCAUGCAAUUUCAGAAACAACCAUGAACUUCUUUUGUCUCUGAGAACUUAAUAAAUUAUUAUCACAGACUCUCCCUAGUGACAGAAAACAUGACUAAUGGAGAGAAACUGCUAGAAACAUAAGAAAAGCAUUAAGAUAAUGAACAUCCUAUGAAGUGAUGGCAUUAACAUUUAUCAGAAAAUGUGGGACUGCAUGAUUUGUCUAUUCCUCCUUAAGAAAUACUGAUAACAUCAACAACUUACUGCUGUUUAACUGAUAUUAAUAAGAAAGCCAUCGAGUCAUUUAACUCAGUAUGUGUUGAGUUCUACUAAGUAUAUGGGAUUGUCAUAGGCUGUGAGCAAGUCAUCAUGUAAAAUAGUACACCCAAACACUUACAAAUGUGUGUCCUUGUAAGGUAUGUUCCAGAAUACUUACACACUUAAGUCGUAAACUGGAUCACCACAAACCAAGUUUCAAAAGACUAAAGCCAUAUUUAAUAUGAAUAAAACUGAAAAUUAAGUUCAUAAAGAUACAAAAGGAUUCCAAAUGCUUGCAAUUUAAUUCCAAAUGUUUGUAAAAAAAAUCAAAAAACAAAAAACCCAAUGACUAAUGAGUCAGUAAAUCAUAUUAGAAAUUAGAAUAUGCUUUGAAAUUAAUUCUGAUUUUAAAAUACCAUGAGUUGGUGUGAAAUUGGAUGUUUAUGGGACCUGGAUGUAGUGAUGCAUGUUUGAAAUCCCAGCCUUGGGAAGUGGAGACAGGAGCUAAAGCGUGCAUAGAGAAUUCAAGAGAAGCUGGGCUGGGCUACGUGAGACCCAACCUUAUUAUUUUUUUUAAAAAAGCUCAAUGGAAAUAUAUAGCUCUAAAUAAAUCUAAGCAUUUGUGCAGAAAUAUUUUUAAAAGAUUCUUAAUCAAUCUUCUGAAAAACAAGAAGGUGGGUUUGGGAUGCAGUACUUGCGGAGGCCAAAAAAGAGUGUUAGAACCUGGAACUGGAGUUAAUAGGUGGUUAUGAAGUACCCUGUGUGGAUGCUAUGAACCAAACCCCCAUUCUCUGCAAAAGCCCUUACCUCUGAGCCAUCUCUUUUAGCCUGUGAUGUUUCUGUACAGUAGCUUUCUGGGUGUUUGAGCAGACGAAUUUGCUGAGUUGAGAGAAGGACUCAAGUUGGGAUGGGCGGGAUGAAUUUUCAUGACAAAGUACCAUUGAGGUGGGAAGAUAAGCACACAGAAAGUUUCUGAAAUCUGAAAAAAGAUCACUGUGUGCUUUUUGUUCAGUGCUCGGCUUCCCACUUCUCAAGGUUGGCAUGAAAUCGGGACCAUUUCGUCUGCAGCCAGCCACAGCUGACAGUCCUUAAUGAGGACAGGAUCUCUGAAAACUUAUGCAUAACACCAGUGGGGCUCAACUGGCCAGAUUAAAGUACCCCACCCCAAAAGGAACUUGAGAACAAGCUUGAAUAGUGUCCUACUGACCCAAUAUAAAUUCCUCACAGAACAAAAUAGAAGUUUGUUAGGUCAGCCCUCCCAACAAGCACUUACAAAGACGUGAUUAUGUUUACAAGAGUUUCAUAUGGGGAUAUGUCUGUGAGAGUUGAAAAGGAUAGGAAACCAUUGAAGGUGGAAUAUUUAGCUCAUAUAACCUACUUCACCUUGUCCAUGUGUGACUGGGAAUACCUGAAGCAUCAUUUCUGGGUGUAUCAUUUCUGGGUGUGUCCGUAGGGUGUUUCUGGAAGAGAUUUGACAUUUGAACUGAUAACAUGAAUAAAAGAAAUUGUGGUUCUCAGUAUGGCUGGGCAUCUAAUGAAUAAAGACAAAAUGCAGACGGGAGAUUGAGGUCUUUCUCCACCUGACUGCUGAAGUGAGGCCUCCAUCUGCAGACCUUGGGCUGGGGCUAACACAAUCAGUGCUCUUGGGUUUCAGGUCUUCAGGUAGCAGAUCAUGGGACUUCGCCUCCAUGGUGGUAUAAGCAAUUCUUUAUAAUAAACACCUGGGUGGGUGGGUGGAUGGAUGGAUCCUAUUGGUUCUGUUUCUAUGAGAAACCCUAACAGAGAAAGACAGAGUACCAAGAUGAUUGUGCUACAGUGAGAUUCUAAUCAAGUUUAAGGUUGGCUGACAAGCCAAAGUUUCCCAGUGGAGACAUCCCCUACUUCACAAGAAUAAGCCUAUGUUAGUAUACCUGCUUUACUCAGCUACUGUUCUCAUGGAAUGAGCCUAUGGGAAAUGUAGUCUUAGCAGGAAAAUAACACUGGCUUCAGAGCAGCAGCAAGGACCACUAAACUCUCCUCAAGCAAAAGGUCCAGGCGGUGUAUUUUCACCCCAGUUCACUCUAACCCUUGUACUGUACAUCCACUGCAUAGGGAUGGCUUGACCUGACUGCCAGAAAGAUGGCUUAAGUGCCAAAAGCAAGUAGGAGCCCUUGCUAAGUAAUUCUAGAAGUAGGUGAGUAUUCUCCUUUCCCAGUGAAUAAUCACCCUAAUAAGUGGCCAGAAAUCCAUUUGGGGAAGAACUUGAGAGUCAUAACAAUAUGCACAUGUCAUUGUAUAACAGCAUCUUUAUUUGUGAAGGCUGAGCCACUUUUCCAAUCUCUGUAACCCUUACAAUUUUCUUCAUGUCUGGAAACUGGAGCAAGGGAUUGUAAAGAUUCAUCGGGGACAGUACCAUUAACAUCUUGCUUUCCAUUCUUAACUUAAUUACUUACAGAAGUUAAGCCACAUCCUUCCUUCUUGCUCAUCUGUUUUGCCUGUAGGGGUGUUACCUUCAAUUAAUCAUCUCCCUAACACCCUGUAAGUCAAGCCCACUUAACUACCCCUUCAAUUUUGCCAGUUGUUACAGUAAUUAUGGCCUCUUGGCUUUUGGUAGCUAAGCACCAGUCCUGCAGGGCCCUUUAUUACUUCAGGGUCCAUUACCCUGAGUGAUAUUAACAAGCCCAGUGCCAUGACCGCCUAUCUAAAUACAAUACAGGCACCAUCACUUAUCUCAGUGAUACUGGUACCCUCUCAUAGGAAUGUUCCUGGUGGCCUUGGUGAAUUGUGUGUUCUCUGCUCCUUGCCUUGGAGCAAGCCACCUUCCCUCACAAUAUAUCCAUCUCAGCGUGACCAUUUCCCUUGGUCAGUUUAUAUCUUCCCUAUGUGCCAGAACAAUGUGGACAUCACAGCUUUGCUCAGAAAUGACCCUUUCCCUUUUCAGGCCUUUAAAAGCCACUCUAUCAAGGAAUUUGUUUUACCUUUUUCCUAGGUGUUUCUCCUGGGGUAAUAUCUUAGUCCAUUUGUGCAUCUGUAACAAAAUAUCUGAGACUGACUAAUUUACAAAGAGCAUAAAUUUAUUUCUCACUGGCCUUGAGGAUGUAAAUAUAAAAUUAAAAUGUCAGCAAGUUUGGUGUCUAGUGAGGUAUCGUACACUGUUUCCACAUGGUAGAGUGGAAGACUGAGGUCUAGAGAACUCCACUGCAGCUCAUCUUAGAAGUCACGAAUCCAAUUCACCUUCACCACUUAAUGUCUAAAAGAUACCAACUGUUAAUAUGCUCACACUAGAAAUUAAGUGUUUUCACACUUGAGGUUGGGUAGACAGACCACACCAGAUGAUAAACACUUUGUAACUGAAAUAUUCCUAAAUAAAUACAUUCUUGUAAGUCUGCCUUUAUAUCUACCACCUCAGAAAAACAAUGAUCCAAUUCACUCACCUGGCUUUUGCUUAUGUGUCACACAGCAUUCUUCCUGCCUUGUCAGACGCAGGAUAGCUCCACUGACUCAGUGUGGAAUUUAACUAGUCAUCUUUAAGCAGUCGGAAAGAGGACAGACAUUUCAUGGGUGACGGGGCACACUCCAUCAUUUACCUUUCAAGACCUAGCCUUUGGCUGUCGAUAUACUGAUUGAGGAUGUACGUAGCUUUCCACCAAGCACUGUUUGGGCCAAUGCAAUUUCAUUGCUAAACUCCUAAAUAUUUAGCAGGAAAAUACUACCAAGCUUGCAGGAUUUGUCAACUGAAUAGGAAAACAUCAGUGUUUUUGACUUGAUAGCUGAAACAAAUGCAUCCCACUUGUAGAUGAUAAACAGAAAGUUGGAACCCAAACCUGACAAAACAACAGAAUAAGGGAAAUUAUAGACCCAACCUCAAAGAUAAGAUGCCUGAAUGAACCUGAAAAACUCAUAUAGAAAUAAGAUGUUAUUCACUAUAAAUUUGUUAACCAGUUAAUUUUAAAUUUAUAAUCAAUUGUGCACAAACGAGGUAGACAGAAGACUUGGGUAGUUUCUGGAUUUUAAGGUCCUUCAUACAUGUUUUGGAUGAGUCAUUUCACUACACUGUAAAGAUAUGAAUCUCAUCACUUUUCUUGACAUAGAGUCUGUUAGGCUACAUAUCUCCAUAUACUUGGAUAAUUGUAACAUUCAUACAUUUGCAUAGGCACUAUCUUUCAUAAUAUCAUAGUUGGAGACUAUGGUAAUCCUAAAAUGGACAGCCUGUGGAAGUAAGUCAUAAGCCACCUCCUAGAAAUUCCCUUUCUUUACAUAAAGUCUGUUGUCACUAUGUAAACGAGGAGAUUCACCUCCAUUCAUCUUUUUUCCCCCAGAAACAACCUCCAAAAUGCUUCCAAAGAGAAAGUAAUAGAAGUUAGCUGCCUAAUUUUCUAUUUGGGAGCCAGUAAGUCUCACAAAUGUCGAUGCUCAGACACUAAACAAAAUAUUAUCAAAUGAAAGUUGCAAUGUCUAAAGAGACCAGUACAUCAUGAAAUGGUUCAACAUUUGAAAGUUAAUUAAUACAAUUCAUCAUGUAACAGAAUAAGACAAACCGUAUGUCAGUAGCUACAAAGCAAACAAAUCAACAUGCAUUAACAAUACAAACUGAAAACUACGAACAGAAGGGAAGUUGAUAGCAAUCUAUUAAGAAAACCUACAGUUAGCAUACUGCUUAGUAAUAGAACAUGGAUCUUUCCCACAAUUGUGUAUUGUCCCUUGUCAUGCAGAUCCGGUAUGCCACAAAUGAUUGUGCAUGGAGAAAACCUGAACUGUUCUACAGGCUUUGAGAAUGAGUUAAUUUAAUGUCAAAAGGUCAAAAAUUGUAUAUCCUCACAUUGGCUAAACUUAACUAAAAUAUUUUAAAUGAGCUAUGAAUAACAAGUUUCAAAUAGCUAAGAAUAAACCAGUUGUGAGAUUUACAGUCUUCUGCACUAGCAACUGAAAAGCAUUACUAAGACAUUAAACACUUAAAUGAGUGGGGGUAUAAAGUGUUGAGGCAUGGAGGACUAGAUGUUUUAAAGAUCAAUACUUUGAAUGUACUCAAUAUUUAUUGUCUGUGUCAUCCCCAUGAAGCUCCCCGGAGAUCCUUUUAUUUUGAUGAAAUUGAUAAACUGCCUGAAAUGUAUUUAGAAAUUGAGUGGACUCGUGACAGCUAUAAUAGUUAUGAAGAGUACCUUCAGGACUAUCAAAACCAAAGCAAGCUACAGAAUUUGGGGUAUUUCACUGUUUGUACAGUGAUGACUACUAGACUAAUGAAAUAAAUACAGAAAUUAAACACUGGCUGAAUUUCCCUCUGAAGGAAAAUGCUUCAGCACCUCAGCACACGUGCCACACCCAGACAUACUUCUCCUCUUAAGCUAGAUUGUAAAUUUAGUGUUUAGGAGGAAUGAAGCCAUAGAAGACCCGCCCAAAGAAACAUGCAAAUGAAACUUGGUGGCUUUUGUUUUUCCAAGAAUCAAAGUCAUGGUUUCAGAUUUAAGACCAGAGGAAUACCUAGUCCUACAUGUCACAACCUAUGUCCUAUAAAUUCACUCAGAGAAGGGGAUUGAAAAGGAAAAUCUCAUUGGUGAGUUAUAUUCAAGAGAAAGCAGCUGAGUUUAUUGCUGAUGAAAGUUUCUGAAGAAUUCCACAUUCCAAAUCACAGUCUGAAAAAAAAAUCCAGAAAGAAUGUACAUAAUCUAAAAGUGGAAAUACUAGUGCCCUCUGCCCUGUCUUGUUCCCCUGAGACAUGAUGUUGCGUAUAGUUAGUCUAGGUACAAUAUUAUUGAAUUUGCAUGUGCCUAAGUAUAGAGAUCCCACACUGCCAUACAGUCACUGUGGUGUCAGGUGACCAAGAAAAUCUCUUUGGUGCAACUGGGAGCAUUAGAACAAUAAUUCUAGCAGCCCACAGACCUGAAGGACAGUGUGAACUCUGAAAGAUGCUUCAGAUUUCAUCAGAUAUCAACACAGGGGUGAAUGUCAAUAAUUACCAGAAAGGACAGUAUUCAUCUUACUUUGAAGCCAAACACAAAUAGACACCAAUCAGAAUCAAAUGCUAUACUAUCACCUAGCCCUCUAUAACAUGGAUGCAACCCUGAGUGGAAAGUGAGUGCUCUGUACUUAGUAUGUCCCCACUAAAUUCAUAUGUUGAAAUCCUACCUGCAAAGGUGGUGGUAUUUGGAGGUUGGGUCUUCAGGAAGUGAACAGAAUGCAUUCCCUUACAAGAGAAGCUCAAGGGAGCGCAUUCACUCUUUUGCCAGGUGACAACAGACAGCUGCCCCAAGUAAUUAAGUGUGUUCUCACCACAGACUCUGCCAGCACCUUGAUUUUUGAUUUUCUAGCCUCCAGAAGCAUGUUAUUUAUAAUCUACCCAAUUUAUAGUGGGUGUUCUGUUACACUAACUCCAAAAAAAUGAGAGAAAAUGUUAAAUUAACUUAUUUUAAAAUGCAUUGCCUGUAUUUAUCUAAAAAAUAAAGGGUUUGAGGUGUGUGUGUGUGUGUGUGUUUAUAUGCAUACCAUAGACAGAAUGCAAGAAUUGUUUAAAUUUGGAGAAAAUUAAAGCCAGGUUUCCAUAGAGCUGAGUACAUUAAUUAAUAAGGACACCAGAGUUUCAGGCAGGACUAAUAGCCUACUGUUGAAAGACAAGUGACCCUAGAGCAAGCAAACCAUCUGCAUGCAGUUGUGUUUUGUUUUGGUUUUGUUUAUUUGUUUUACACGAUCUACAAGGCCCUGUUAUCACAGUUAGGGUGAUGCUUACGGAACUGUGUGCCGUGUUUCACUAGUUCAUAGCAAAUGAACUGAUGCAAGGAGAGAAACUAAGUUGAAAGUCUUCCUUAGUGCCUGACUCUCAGAGUCGUUCCAAAGGAGAUGAUGUGGUGUGUCAGAAGCGUAUCCAUGUGUGGCCCUGGUCUCCCUUCAGAGAAGGACUUGCUCCCAUUUGCUGCCUGGACUGUUAACAAGCAGCCUGCAGCUGUCAGGUCCCUUCUGCCAUCAGGUCUCCUCUGGACUUGCCUCAGCAGCACAGAAGCACUUCAUCUAAUGUCACACUCCUUCACAGGAUGACACACGUCAGUGACUGAUCAUUGCUGGGAUGCAAAGUUGUUCCAUGGCUCAUCUCCAGAGUUCUCUGUGGUGCUGGCAGAAGCUGUUGCUGAGCCUAUAUGGCAGCCCAGCUUGCUCUGUCUUUCUCUUCUCUACAGACGCUAGUCCAAAACACACUUCUUAAUAAACAGCCACAGUGUCAACCAUAUUUGAGAGUCUCAAGAGAUGCAUCCUGGAGAACACAGAGGCUCUGACUCACCCGCCCCCCAACAAAUACACCUUCAGAUUCAAUUUGCCCAGGAAAGAAAAUAUAGAAGAUCUAUCAGGCACCAAGUUUAAGAAACACAUCUGGCUACUGCUAAGUACAGAUGUGAGAACUGAGAAAGUACACUCACUUUUUGUCAGAUGAAUACAAAUAUUUUGUAUUCACAGCUGCCUUUGGACAUAUUUAGUAGGGAAAGGGGGAAAGUACUGAGAAAGUCUUUGAAAAUCUGUUUCCAAGAAAUAAAAGCUGCAUGCCAGAAGUCUCAUAAAACUAAAAGAAAAUGGCAAAUUUGAAAUAGCUAAAAAAAAAAAAAGGAGAGUUUAUCACAAUAGACUUACUGAAAUGUUGAUGUUCAGUAAUGUGGUGACUGGUAUCAUUUCAAGAUGUGACUCUAUUACCAAAACAAGGGCUGGAAUAAAUAUUUUUGCAUAACCAUAUUUGUAUUUCAAUGGUACCUUGAGAGGAUGGCUUGGAAAACUGACACCUAGAUAAUCAGUGACAAUGAGCCAUCAGACUGCAUGCUCAGCAUAGGGCAAUUUCCAAGGAGGAAGAAAUGCAUGCAGCCUCUCCAAAUUUGGCUUGGGGAGGCGUUUGCUUCAGCUCACUUGAAUAAGCUACUGUCUAUGGCUCACAAGGGUCCUGUUCUUAAUGAGGUGGUGCAUGGCAGCAACACACUGUGAGUCCAAAUAGCAGAUGGCAACGCUGUUGAGUAGGCUGGCAUGCUGAUGUCUAGCCACCAACUGGCAGCAAUCAUUAUUAAACUGAUUCAUGUGCCCAGGGAAAAUCUUCAUAAGAGCCCUAGCAAAUGUGAGCAGCAAGAGGCAAAUGAUCUGUCCCCACAUCCUCUAUAGAGCUACCUAUAUUUUAAAAAUGACUAUCCUGCAGGGCUAUCUACAUGAAGAAUGGCAGGAUGAGUGAACCGGAGGCUCUGUUCCUCUGCUCUAUACUCACAUGCCUUUAAAUGUGAUGGUUGUAAUUUCUGUUUGGUGAAUAGCUUUAGCUUGAAGGAAGUAGCUUUGUAGCUCUCCCCCUGUGGGCAUAAUGGCAAAUAUAUUUGGUGUCAGGCAAGUGCUUGUGGGCUCUCCAAAAAAAGGUUCUGUGUAAAUGUUGCACAAAUUGAAUACUGAACAUUAUCUGUCUCAAAUUAUGAAGUGAUGGCCUAAACAGCGCAUGGUCCAUCCACCUGAGACAGGUAACUCAUCCUGAAUGAAAAGCAGAUUAAUACAAGUAAGAACAUUACAAAACUAUUCUCAUAUGAGGACCUUUCCACAAGAAAAUCUUAGAAGUACUCAUUUUGAAAACUAUGUCUUUAUAAAUCAAACUAAUAAGCAGGUAGCAUACUUCCUUUUUUUUCUUUUUGGUUUUUCAAGACAGGGUUUCUCUGUGUAGCCUUCACGGAGAUCUGCCUGCCUCUGCCUCCCUAAUGCUGGGAUUAAAGGUGUGUGCCACCAAUGCUUGGCUACAUGCUUCUCCUUUCAAAUGAAUGGAUAUGUGUUUGUAACGAGUAAUGCCAAUUUUUAUGUUUGUAUAUAAACAUUUUAUUGAAAAACUA